UCAGUAAAAUGCUGAUCCAGCAUCAUCGUGACCUGGACACGAAUGGGAAGUUGGAUGAGAUUGGAGGGGAGUUUGUCUUUCAUCAGCUCUGUACAAAAGACUGUUAUUUGUUUUCAGCCCUCUAGACUGGUUUUCCUUUAUCAAGGUGUUUUAUAUGUAGUAUUUUAUUUCCACCACUGGGUGGCUCCUCGACCAUAUUUGUUCAUAGAUCUGAGUGUGGAUGUCAACACAGACUUCGUUUAUUACCUCUUUCUACUGUGUGCGUCCAUUGAAUGUAAGUAAUGCUGUUGGUGGUUUAGUUCGGUUUCAUAAAAGCCUAAGAGCUGUACUUGUACUUUGUCCUGUUGAAUAUUAUGGCCGUUUGGUGUGGGUUACUCGGAUUGUGGAGAGCUAAAAGUUAGCCGUUUAGCAUUAAGCUAUUAAGCUCGGUUAAUUAGAUGCAGCUGUUAUUUGUGUUGGCACUUUCAACUGAAAUGCCUUAUUUCUCUUGUAUGUUUUAUCAUGUGACGCUAUUAUUAGCAGGGUUGAUUAUUAUUUAUGUGUAAUUAUUGUUUACGUUCUCAUACUCAGAUAUUAACCAGUUGCUAGUCUAUAGUAAUCUUUAAACACAUUUAUUCACUUUGUGGACAUUUGGUUUAUUUGUGAAAGUAUUUACAGGCAGGUUCUCAUAAUUUCUAUUUGUUUAUGUAUGUAGAAAAACACACACACACCUAUGCCUUCAUAUGUAUGGAGGAACCUCAAGAGCUAAUAAAAGUCAAGUAAAGCUCAAUACUGAACUCGGACGUUCUCUUAUUUGUCCUAACCCGACACCCUGGAGUGAUUGUUUAUCCAUAACCAAACCAGCCUCAGUCUUCAUUACAAGCUCCACGAGGAAGAGUUCUCAGCAGGUUCACCUGCUUCUGAGCCUUUCUCAGACUUCAGCUCAAAUGCAUCAACCUCCACAAUAAUGAUGGAUGAGAUACUGUGCAAGAAGCAAAAACCCGACACUCCUGAAAAUGCAGUGUCUGCUAAAAAGCUGGUUGAAGGUGCUCUACAAAAUAUGUCUGGUGGUGAAGAAGUUCUGCAAGAGUGGAACAACAGAAACCCUCAGUGGUGAACAUGCUGGUGGCUCACAGAGUUAAUAAACAUAGGCACCUUCCUGCUAAACCAAUCAGAGAAGAGUACCUGAGGAUGGUGACAUCUUCCAAAACCACCUGAAGUCUCCAGGAAUCAGUGCGUGGGACGCAGUCGAGACUUGCUGUCUUUUAUAAGUCAUGCUGCAGUUUAGAAGAACAUCUCUGGGACCAACGGGGUCUGCAGUCAUACCUCCUUGCUGUUUGAUGUCAGAAGACCAAGAUUGACAUCAUCAUGAUAAGUGACUCAUCCCAUGCCAAGCAAACGGAUCCCUUGGAGCAUUUGAUGAGUUAUUCAAGACAUUUUGUGAUUGAUGUCUUUUAUGAUGCUGCAUUAAUGAAUUUUUAUACAUCCUUGCAUUGUAUAACAUUGAUGUUGGCAAAAUGAAGGAACCACCCAGACUUGAGAGCAAAACAAGUGAUAUAUUUUUAGUUGACAAUCAUUUUUUCCUUUGUUAGCCUUUUGAUAUUCAAAACUCAAAUGGAAAGCUAAUGAAUGUUUGUUCACUGUACAACAGUUUAAAAUGUUGGAAACACAGCUGCAAAAAAUAAAACAAUUGUUUAAAAUUGAUUUUUUUUAUUUUAGUUUUUCUGUAUUAUAAUUAAUUUUAACCAGAGUCAUAAAGUAACACAUUUUGGAGUAAAUACCUAACACUUGAAAGUGUUAAACUAACCCUAACAAAGUAGUUAUUUUUUGUUAUUUUAUCAGUGUCAACCAUUGCAUCCCAUAGUGUUAAUGUAACUCUGAAGAGUGUGGACCAUAUAAACCCUGAAAAGGAGUUAAUUUCACUCUGGGAGUUAAAUC